rnacentral:rRNA from 1 species
UACGUAGGGGGCAAGCGUUGUCCGGAAUCAUUGGGCGUAAAGAGCGUGUAGGCGGUCAGAAAAGUCCGCUGUGAAAACUCGAGGCUCAACUUCGAGCUGUCGGUGGAAACUUUCUGGCUAGAGUCCGGAAGAGGAGAAUGGAAUUCCUGGUGUAGCGGUGAAAUGCGCAGAUAUCAGGAAGAACACCCGUGGCGAAGGCGGUUCUCUGGGACGGUACUGACGCUGAGACGCGAAAGCGUGGGGAGCAAACAGG